CAAUUGUUCGAUUGCGCAGAAAUUUGAAAAUGGACAAAUGAAUGGAAGGAUCUUAGGAGAUUCUGGGUACCCUCUAAGGCCAUGGAUCAUGACACCAGUUAGUAAUCCAAAUUCCAGAGGAGAAGAUCGGUAUAAUGGGUCUCACAGGAGAACUCGUGUGGUGGUUGAACAGGCCUUUGGAGUGCUAAAAUCCCACUUCAGGUGUCUCCACAAAACAGGCGGAGCUCUUGAGUACACACGAGCAAAAUGCUGCAAGAUUAUAUACGUGUGCUGUCAACUCCGUAACAUCUGUAUUGACAAGCGAAUUCCAGUUUUUGAGGAACCUGAAGAAGAACUAGUUGAAGCUUAAGACGAGGUAACUUACCAGGGACCUAUCAAUGACGGCAAAACAACCAGAGAACAAUUGAUAAGACAACAAUUUACAAAGAAAUACCCAUACGUUUUGGUUGGUUGAAGCUGCUUCUCGUGAUCUGGAGCCUCUGGAAGUGUUGGGGUGGCGGCUUGCUCACCAGAAGAUGGACCUGGGGAUUGA